rnacentral:rRNA from 1 species
UCAGAUYGAACGCUGGCGGCAGGCCUAACACAUGCAAGUCGAACGGAUCCUUCGGGAUUAGUGGCAGACGGGUGAGUAACGCGUGGGAAGCUACCUUGUGGUAGGGAACAACAGUUGGAAACGACUGCUAAUACCCUAUGAGCCCUAUGGGGGAAAGAUUUAUCGCCAUGAGAUGUGCCCGCGUUAGAUUAGCUAGUUGGUAAGGUAAUGGCUUACCAAGGCGACGAUCUAUAGCUGGUCUGAGAGGAUGAUCAGCCACACUGGGACUGAGACACGGCCCAGACUCCUACGGGAGGCAGCAGUGGGGAAUAUUGGACAAUGGGGGCAACCCUGAUCCAGCCAUGCCGCGUGAGUGAUGACGGCCUUAGGGUUGUAAAGCUCUUUCAGCAGUGAAGAUAAUGACAUUAACUGCAGAAGAAGCCCCGGCUAACUUCGUGCCAGCAGCCGCGGUAAUACGAAGGGGGCUAGCGUUGUUCGGAAUCACUGGGCGUAAAGCGUACGUAGGCGGACUGAUCAGUCAGGGGUGAAAUCCCGGGGCUCAACCCCGGAACUGCCUUUGAUACUGUCAGUCUUGAGAUCGAGAGAGGUGAGUGGAACUCCGAGUGUAGAGGUGAAAUUCGUAGAUAUUCGGAAGAACACCAGUGGCGAAGGCGGCUCACUGGCUCGAUACUGA